CCUGGGCCUAAAUCUUGACUGCACACCGGUCAUAUUAUUGAGGUAACGAGAUGUGAGCAGAAACAACCUGUGUCACACCUGGGCAGAAGCUUUAAAGGCCAGUGCUGCCCUUGUUGGGGAAGCAAGUAUAGAUAUGAAUCGUUCCACAACGCGGAGCGCCCCCUGCCGACCCAUGCUGGGCGUGUACUAUAGCUCAUGGAAUCUUCACAACAACCAAGGCUCAUUUGAUGGGUGAAGAAACUGAGGACCAGAGAAGUGAAGCAAAGCACCAUCAUCAUAGAGCUUCAAGGGGCAGAGCCACAUCACCAAACUGUCUCCGACAAUGGCCUCUGAUCUGUCCUCAAGCUGAUGCUAUUGGUCAAAGGGACUAGGCCUACAUAGCUAGGAAAAAUUAGGCUCACCUGGCACUUAAAAACAGAUAUACAGUAUUGCCCUGAUGGAAGAUUGUUGACAUCCCCUAUCUCUUCACUUGUCCUGUUUAGAGCACUUGAAGAUGCUGCUAUUCCAGGCUACCUCAGCCCACCCCUUCUUAUCCAUCCAUUCAUCCAUCUUUUCAUCAACCCACUCAUCACAUCAUUUGUCCAUCCAUCCUUCCCCUAACCACCUACCCAUCUAUCCAGCUACUUAUUCAUCCAUUUAUCACAUGCACCUACAUAUCUUUCCAUCCAUCUACUUACCCAUCCAUGCAUCAUCCUCCACACCCAACCAUCCACCCAUAACAUCUUUUUAUUAAUCCAUCCACCCAUCUAUCCACCCAGCCAUCUCCCCAGUUACUCAUUCAUUUGUCUCAUCCAUCCAGCUAUUUCUCCCUCUAUUCCAUUCAUGCAUCCCUCCACCCAUCUAUCACAUCCAUUCAUCACAUCACAUUCAUUCAUCAGUCCAUUCACCUAUCCACCCACCUAAACAUACAUUUAUUCAUCCAUCCAUCUUCCCAUUCAUUCAUCCACUUAAUUAAUCUUCAAUCAAGGUCUACAUGGGAUCAGGCCCUGUGGAAGGCUGGACUAUAACAAAAAGAAUGAGAUAGAUACAGACCUUUCCUUUAAGGAGAUUCGAGGUACUUACGGAAAUGAGCAACUACCAAAGAAGCAAAAUAAAUAACCAAGGGAAACUUGUUAAAGGGAAAAUAAGGGUAGAAAAGUAAUAAGGCCAGGAGUCAGGUUAGCACACAGAUAUGCAUGUUUAGCAUCUCAUCCUCAGAGUUACUCAGGGUAGUACCAGAUUGGCACUGAGCAAGAUCCUGGCACUCAAAGCAGAACAACACAAGAGUCACAGUCUACUCUACUCCAUUGUGGUAGACACUCCCCAGAACUACCUUGUUCUCCUAUAACACAGUGGGGUUAUAUGUGCCCCAGGGUACAUUUGGCUUUCUGGAGACAUUUUUUCUUUGGCAAAACUGAUGGGAAGAGAUGUUACUGGCAUCUGGGGAGUAAAGGCCAGGGAUGCUGCUUAACAUCCUACAGUGCACAGGACAGCCCCUCACCACAGAGAAUCUUCCAGGCCAGAAAGUUAACAGUGCUGAGGCUGAGAAACUCAUUUAUACCAGAGCCUCAGUUCUGUUUGGAGCAGGAGUGUGCCACACCCCAAGAGAAAAAUCACUGGUCUAGGUCCAUCUUGGCUUUCCCAUCUCUUUCCACUACAUACUUGUCUUCCCAGCUUUCCUUGAACUAGGGGAGUCUGCCAGGAGGUUUCUGGGGAAGUUUUGCUUUUGGAUAAAAGAAACAAGGGCACUGAGGAAAACCUCUUCUCCUCCUGCCUCCAGCUUCAGACACGUAAGUGCAGACAUGACAGCUGAAGCUGGGACAGCCAGUUUGGGUUAUAAUGGGGCAAAUACAAGGACCAAAGACAACGCAGUGAGGAGGGCAGAGAGGAAGGAAGGCAAGAGAGUGGGAUCUGGCUGACAUUGAUGAUCAUCAUUGUAGCGCUGUUUUAAGCCCAUCAUUUCACUCAUCCAACAAAUGCUUAUUGAGCAUUUCUUCUGUGCCAGUCACCAUGUGAGACAUAGUGAGACAAACAAGGCUGAACAAACUACCCAGGUCCCAGAACUCACGGAGUUUAUAGUCUGGUGGGGCAGCCAGACACCACAAUUCACACCAGCAACUAUCUGAUCAGAGCGAUGACGAGAACCGCAAAGCCAAAACCAGUGUGCCGUGGAAGCACCGGAAGUCCAGGGAGGGCCAAGUCCACCCAGCAUCACCACACCAAAGAGCAGCUCUUUAGAAUCCUGCUAAAGCUCAAAAACAUGAAACCACAACGAGGAUUUCUUGCGUGCUUGCUCUGGACCCAGGACUGUUCUAAGCACUCAUGGAUCCUUCCAUUUGAUCCUCACAACAGCCAUGUCUUCCUCUGCCUCUAACUGAGGCUCUGCUAUGUGCCAUGUCCCUGACCCACCAAUGCACCUCUACUAUAGUCAUCUUAGGAGAUGAUUAAUGUUAUCCCCAUUAGAG
rnacentral:lncRNA from 1 species